AGUUCUGAAUCAACUCGAAGAAUAUGCUCAUGCCUAUACGAAGUCCACAAGCUCCACGGAAAUAAUGUCUAAUCUUCUUCUUCUUUCUCCUCUAUUCUUUACCUCUCUUAUCUCUCUCUCAUCUCUCCAAUCCCCCAAUCUAGUUUCUCUCUCUCUUCUCUCUAGUUCCUCUCGUUCUCCUUUUCUCUCACUCAAUUAUCUCAAAUUCC
rnacentral:lncRNA from 1 species